CAACUACUCCCUCCGUUCGAAAUUACUUGUCGCGAAAAUGGAUGUAUCUAGAUGUAUUUUAGUUCUAGAUACAUCCAUUUCCGAGACAAGUAAUUCCGAACGGAGGGAGUACUUC
rnacentral:pre_miRNA from 1 species